rnacentral:rRNA from 1 species
GCGGGGGGGGCAAGCGUUGUUCGGAAUUACUGGGCGUAAAGGGCUCGUAGGCGGCCAACUAAGUCGGACGUGAAAUCCCUCGGCUUAACCGGGGAACUGCGUCCGAUACUGGAUGGCUUGAGUUCGGGAGAGGGAUGCGGAAUUCCAGGUGUAGCGGUGAAAUGCGUAGAUAUCUGGAGGAACACCGGAGGCGAAGGCGGCAUCCUGGACCGACACUGACGCUGAGGAGCGAAAGCGUGGGGAGCGAACAGGA